rnacentral:lncRNA from 1 species
CCUUCCUUCCUUCCUUUUUUGUUUUUUUACCACCCUAAACCACAUGGAAUUCCUGGACUAGAGAUCAGAUUCCAGCCACAGUUAUGACUUAAGCUGCAGCUGCAGCAAUGCCAGGUCCUUAACUCACUGUGCCUGACUGGGGAUCAAACCUAUGUCCCAGCACUCCCAAGAUGCCGCUGAUCCCGUUUCAUCACAGCAGGAGCUCCUGGAUCUACUUUAAAUCCCACCUAAAAGGAUUCCAUAGGCAGGUGAUGGAACCCCAAUCGAAUGAGACUGGGUGAGAGCUGAUGAAAGGGCAGCCAGCUGGAGGAAAAGACAACACGUGUGUCUGGGAAGACAUAGGUCAAUGGUCCCAUAAGGUUCCCAGAAGAGCCCAUGGCAAAGUCUGCGAAGGAAGGAGUCAGCUCUACAAACCUCCCAGGCCCACCCAGUGAGGACCCCUCACAACAGGACUUGUCAAGGAAGGGCCUUCCUGCCUUUUCCUCUUCCCUGUCCGUGCACCCAGAAGAGCCAGAAACCUCAGUCACUGACGUGAUUGAGGAUGUGUGAAAGGAGAGCAAAAAGGAAACUCAUCCUCUCACCUGCAUCAGGUUCUAGUUUGGAGAGGGGGCAGAUUUAACUUUAAGGCAGGUUGGAUAUUAUUAUGUAGACUGGACACCUAGCAGCCAUUUUGAGACUGUGUGGUCAAAUUCUAGUGGUCCCAGGAUUUUACAUUAUUUAAGAGUGAUCAGAAAAGUCAUGGAGUUCCUGUGUGGCUCAGCGGAAACAAAUCCGACAAGCAUUCAUGAGAACGUAAGUACAAUCGCUGGUCUCUCUCAGUGGGUUAGGGAUGUGGCGUUGCUGUGAGCUGUGUUGUAGGUUGCAGAUUCGGCUCAGAUCUGACAUUGCUGUGGCUGUAGUAUAGGCCAGUGGCUACAGCUCCAGUACGACCCCUAGCCUGGGAACCUCCAUGUGCCACAGGUGCAGCCCUUAAAAAAAUAGACCAAACAAACAAACAAACAAACAAACAAAAAAGUCAUGGGACUACCUGAAUUUUCAACCAAGGGCAGUGGAAAAACUUCUGAAUUACUUUAAAAAGUUCAGUGAGAGAGAAAAAAAAAAUUGAUUGUAAUUACAUCCCAUGAGUUUCUUGUUCAAUUUACCAGCUGCACUUAACAAGUUAUUAUGUCCCCAAAUAACCAGAACCCACUUCAGUAUGCUGGGAUACAAAGGGCUCCAAAGACAGUCAAAGAAAAAGAGACUUCCUUCCAAUUUAUAAAAUCUCUUCCUUGUCCCCCUCCCCACUUCCCUAUAUUUCUAUAAAGUAUGGGCAGAUUGUGCGGUUGAAAGCUAUCCCUGGGAGAGAGGGAAAUACAUCGUAGAGGGGUUCUGGGGGACAGGAAAAGGAUGGAAGGAGGCAUUUUACUAGAAGGGGAGACAAAAGGGCAACCGCAGCUAAAGGAAGAUAGGGUAGGAAUCCCAGGCAGCUUGAUGGAGUGGAGAUAGUCCCCUGGGGUUAAGGCUCCUAUCCUGGAGUCCUGCCUGAACCACCACCAUUUUGGCAGCCUUGUUACUGUUACAUCAGCAACAGUGACGUGAGCUACCGAAGACUGACAACCAGAAGGCAGGCCAGGAAAGUCGGAGAUAGAAUGUUCUCUGCUUCCCUAGGACAUCCUCAUGCAAAUGUGCCAAAAUAAUAGAAUUCCUAAGAUAUUUCGUUGUUUACGUAGCAGCAAUGAAUGAAAAUAUUUGUGAUUAGGACUGUCCACCAAAAUUAAAAUUUAACAGGGCUUCAAAUAACCAUUCCUUCACAUGCAUGAAAAACGUUCCAUUUAUAAUUCCUCUCCAAGGAAGCUUAAACAAUGUUGUACUGUUCUAUACUUGCUACAACCACAACGCAUGCCCCAUACCAUGACACCCUUUUUAUUAAAAAAGAUUUUUUUAAUUUUAGUUGAUUUACAAUGUUCUGUCAAUUUCUGCUGUACAGCAAAGUGACCCAGUCAUACAUAUAUAUAUACACAUUCUUUUUCUCACAUUAUCCUCCAUCAUUUUCCAUCACAAGUGACUAGAUAUAGUUCCCUGUGCUGUACAGCAGGAUUUUAAAAUGCAGUGGUAUACGAUAGCUAAAAAGAAAACAAAAGUGGUCCAAAAUGAAGGGAUGAAAAUAAAUAAAACAGAUUUAUAUAAAUGCCAGUUAUUGUGCUGGGAAAUCUUAUGAAAUCUGGAAAUGCUGACAUACAAAAUUACGUACUCACCCAUCAAGACCUGACUUGGCAGUCCUCUCUGUGAGGCCUUCCUGAACCCCCAAAAAGGAAACCAGUACUUUCUGGAACCACUAUGUGCCAGUUCUUUUAGUAACUCUGCUAAAAGGUGGGUAUCACUUUCUGUAUUUGAAGAGAUAAAGAAACCAAAGCUCGGGUUGCUAAAGCCACUUGCCCCAGAGCACACCGUUAGUGUCUAGGGAGCAUUCCAGAUGGAAGGUGGGAAACCAGCAUUGUUACAAACCGCUAGGGCUAGGUAAAGUGCUUAAGUAUUAGAUACAUGCGUUCUCAUUUAAUUCGAUGGCCUCUGAGGCAGUUACUGUUACCUCCUAACCAGCCAUGAGCAAACUGGUCCAGUCUUGUCCAAAGUCACAAGGGUGACAAGUGGCAGUGCUCAGACUCAAAUGUGGGUUUUCAAACUCCAACACUGUGCGAUUCCAUGUCAUCACGAUGCCUCUUCUGAAAUGGUCCCUGUAAUGGUCCACUUCAUCCACUUCCACUGGUCAAAUGACAGUCCUCACCUAGAGGAUUGCUGGUAAAUGUAUGUCCCUCCUGCACUCUCACCCUCUAUUCCACAGGCUCAAGCACCUGCUGCAGCCACCUAUCACUGUCAGACUGAGCUUCAAAACCUCAGGCCUAGAUACCAAGAUCUUCUAUAAUCUAGGAUACCACGACCUCACUGAAUGUUAUUCUAUCCCACAAAAUUGGGAAAAACUGGAGUUCUCUUGUGGAAGAGCGAGUUAAAUCUCAGCAGUGGCUUGGGCCACUGCUGUGGCAUGGGUUUGAGCCCUGGUCCAGGAACUUCAAUGUGCUGUGGGUAUAGCCCCCCAAAAUUGGGAAAAACUUUGAAAAGAGCAAAAAAGAAAAAAAAGAAUAUUCUGAAUAUCUUUUCCAGAGUAUUAUUAGGUGCUGUUUAAUAACCAUUUCUGGAUCAUCUAAUUUUAUGGGUCUGUGCCUUUCAUUGUCUUUAGCUGAGCUCAUUUACAACCCUAUAAAUUGUAGAAAACUGAUAGUAAUGCAAAUAAUUUUUGUCAUUUGUGGAGACACAAUUUAUAAGCUUCCAUGCUCCCCCAGACGCCAGUUUUUCUAUCUGCAGCCAAUUCCUUUCAACGCUCCUGAUGGCCUUUGUGUAUGUUUGCUCUUUCUUUUGAACCAGUUGUGACAUCCUACUGGUUCCCUCAUUAAUUAAGGAGUUAAAUAAAAUCUUGGACACAUGUUCAUUUUAUAUUUGAAAGAGAGUCAUGACUGUGCCUUUCCUAAAAAGAUUAAUCUUAAACAUUUUUCCACUGGUACCUGAGAUACUCAGCCUGGAUUCCUCACUAAUCAUUAGGAGAUAGCAAACCUGGAUCAAAUCGGACUUACCGCCUGCUUUUGUAAAUAAAGUUUAAUGGAACACAGGCACAUCCAUUCAUUACCUUUGGCUGCUUUUGUAAUACAAAAGUUGCAAUAGAGACUGUUUAGUCCCCAAAGCCUGAAAUAUUGUCUGACCUUUAACAGAAAAAGUUUGCUGACUUCUCAAUUAGACACCAGAUUUACCCUCUAAUAAUAAUCAUGUGAAGGGAUGUAAUGAAUACACAUAGAUGAGAAUAUUAAAAAUGACAAUAAAAUAAAGUGAGUCCCUCCGGGGGGGGGCGGUAAGGGGAGAAAAGAAACUAAUAUGGGAGUGUUGAGUAUGGUUGAAAAUGGAACUAAUUAGCUUCAAUAAUUCCAAAGUAGAACAUCAAAACCAUGCCAUGCAAAUUGUUAAUUUGUUUAUUUAUUUACCUGUUAGAAUUUUUCUAUAUUGUUGCAAAAUACCCCAAGCACACAGAAAGGCAGUAUGAAAUGCUUAUGUGCUCAACUCAACUCACUUUACUAUGUUGUCAUACUGGCUUCAGAUUUUAUUUUCAAAGUCUUUUUUCUUUUUGUUUUUUUCUUUU